CUUCCAGGAAUCCCUCGUCCCGCGAUGUCGCUUCUUCCCUUUGGAAGCACACUUCCUGAGAUUCUCCAUGGAUGAGCUCGAGCUGUCCUCCAAUGGCUGCUCAUCGACUUCCUCUCCCGAAACCUACUUUCAGAACCAGAAUUCUCGCACCAACUUUCACAUAUGCAACGCCUUUACUUCGUGCUAAUUUCAUCUCUUUCACAUUUCACUUGUUCUAUUCGCUCCCCAAAUUUCAUUCUAUUCAUGAUGAAGCUGCAGGAUCUUCUAAUCACGAUCCUGUUUCUUCUUCAGUUUCUGCCUCGAAUUCGUUUCUAGUGGAAAAGAUUUUGUUCAGCUUGAAGCAAAAUAAUGUAAGUUCUUUGUCCAAUUCUCUUUUCCGCCUGAAUCCCUCAGCGUUAGUUGAAGUUCUGUAUGGAUGUCGCGAAAAUUUACAUUUGGGAUUAAAAUUUAUUGAUUUAAUUUCUUCUAGUUGCCCGAAUUUGAAGCACUCGUCAAUUUCUUUGAGUGCAAUGGUUCAUUUUUUAGUGCGCGGCAGGAGGCUGUCAGAAGCCCAAGUUUGCAUUCUUAGGAUGGUAAGGAAGAGUGGCGUAUCACGAGUUGAGGUCGUUGAAUCUAUAGUUUCAACGUGUGGUAAUUUUGGGUCGAUUGGUUUGGUUUCUGAUUUGUUAGUAAGGACUUAUGUGCAAGCUAGAAAGUUAAGGGAAGGAUCUGAAGCAUUUCGAAUUUUGAGGAGCAAAGGAGUUUCUGUAUCUAUAAAUGCUUGUAACAGUCUCCUUGGUGGUCUUGUGAAGAUUGGCUGGGUGGAUUUAGCUUGGGAAAUAUUUGGGGAAGUUGUGAGAGGGGGCACUGAAUUGAAUGUUUAUACACUGAACAUAAUGGUCAAUGCUCUGUGUAAAGAUGGCAGAAUUGCAAAUGUGAAUUUGUUCUUAUCAGAUAUGGAAAAGAAAGGAGUUUUUCCUGACAUUGUGACAUAUAAUACUCUAAUUAGUGCUUACUGUCGUGAGGGGCUUGUUGAAGAAGCCUUUGAACUGUUGAAUUCAAUCUCUAGUAAGGGUAUGGAACCGGGCCUUCUAACUUAUAAUGCUAUCAUAAAUGGCCUAUGUAAGAUAGGUAAGUAUAACAGGGCAAAGGACGUUUUGAAUCAGAUGUCGCAACUUGGGUUAAAGCCUGAUGCCGCUACAUAUAACACAUUGCUGGUUGAGAUUUGUCGACGAGAUAAUAUUUCAGAAGCUGAAGAGAUAUUUGAUGAAAUGUCACGUCAUGGUGUUCUCCCUGAUUUGAUUAGUUUUAGUUCUCUGAUUAGUGUGCUUGCUAGGAAUGGGGAUCUUGAUUUGGCUCUUACGUAUUUUAGAAAUAUGAAAAGUAUUGGUCUCGUGCCUGAUAAUGUAAUUUAUACUAUUCUUAUUGAUGGGUUUUGUCGAAACGGUGCUAUUUCAGAUGCUUUGAAAAUGCGGGAUGAGAUGCUUGCUCAGGGUUGUCUUGUGGAUGUGGUUGCAUACAAUACUAUUUUGAAUGGGUUAUGUAAGAAGAAGAUGCUUGUUGAUGCAGAUAUGCUAUUCAAUGAAAUGAUUGAAAGGGGCGUGUUUCCGGACUUUUAUACUUUCACCACGCUCAUUCAUGGAUAUUGCAAAGAUGGAAAUAUGGAUCGAGCACUGAAUUUGUUCGGAAGAAUGGUUCGCACAAACCUCAAGCCAGACAUCGUGACAUACAACACAUUGAUUGAUGGCUUUUGCAAAGUAGGUGAUAUGAAAAAGGCGAAGGACUUGUGGGAUGAUAUGAUCAGGAAAGAUAUUGUCCCUAACCACGUUUCCUACGGAACUGUAAUAAAUGGUUUUUGUAGUUCAGGCUAUUUAUCCGAGGCAUUGCAUUUGUGUGACCAGAUGGUUGAACGGGGUAUCAAACCGAAUCUUGUCACUUACAAUACUUUAAUCAAAGGCUACUGCCGGUCUGCUGAUAUGCUGAAGGCCCAUGAAUGCUUGAGCAAAAUGAUAUCAAAUGGAAUAAUUCCCGAUCGCAUCUCAUAUAAUACCCUCAUCGAUGGAUAUUUAAAAGACGAGAACCUAGGAAAAGCUUUUGUUAUGAUUAAUGAGAUGGAAAAGCAAGGGCUCAAACUUGAUGUUAUUACGUAUAAUUUGAUUUUGAACGGAUACUGUGCAGAAGGAAGAAUGCUAGAGGCUGAGCAGGUGUUAAGGAAAAUGAUUGAGAAUGGUGUAAAUCCUGACAGAGCCACAUAUUCUUCUCUGAUAAAUGGUCAUGUCAGCCAAGACAAUAUGAAGGAUGCGUUUCGUUUCCACGACGAAAUGCUACAAAGAGGACUUGUGCCUGAUGAUAGAUUUUAGUUUUGGGUUUCAUUGGAUGCACAUCAGAAUAUAUACAAUUAAGGGAUACUUAAUUUCUGAUCCAAAACUGGAUGCUGAUGCUUUUACAUUGAUGUUGUCUCUUCAAUUACUGAGAAUUGAAGUUCUGAUCCUCUCAGUUCAAGAGGUGAGCAAACUGGUGUGGGAGAGUUGAGUAGAUUAUUGCAAAGCGAUCGAAUUGUAAAGGAGCCAUUUGAUACUGUCAGCCAAAACCAUAUUGUUGCUGUAUUGAGGGAUGAAGUGUAGAGAGCAAAAGAGAUAGAAGUUAAUCCAACUUUCCCCAAAGAGUACCUUUUCCCUUAGUUUUACUUUACCAUUGAAGUUAUCUUUCUUGUAGAUCUUGUGGCCUAUUUGUCAGCUGCCAACCAGAAUAUGGUAUAGAACACAUUUCACUUUUGUUGUCAUAAGGAGAAACCAGUCAACUUGUUGCUUCACCAUGCCCGAUUAGGCGAAAAACCCCGCAAAAAGGAAAAGCUAAGCGAAAAGAAGGCAUGGCUGCACAAUUACUUGGUCACUCCUAGUAAGGGCGCACCACAUUUCUAUUCCCAUUCACAAGCUCAAUGAAGGAAAUUGUUUGCCAUGGUCACGGAGUGUUGGACACUCCCAGACCCGUUUCCUCUUCUUCGAGCGAAAGAGCCAGAGAUACGACACGGAUAUGGUGAUGACACAUCAUUUUGUAAAAAUCUAGAACAUGGAGACAAUAAGGACACGCUUAUUAAGGCUCCUUGGCUGGUUUGUGAUGGCAACUUGAUCUCUCUGUAGGAAUACAAAAUGGGCAAUGCUUCAACAAUAAAUAUAUUGAAGAGCUGUUUUGUAAGCACUUUUUUGCACUUGUACUUCUCUUAAUGCCAUUGAUUUUGGGCUCUCUAUCUUCUCCAAGUCACUUUUCCUUUUGCAGCCUCUUUCUUCCUGUAGGAUAGCUGUUACAGAUUUGACAUUAUUUGAUACAUUAUUAGUUACAUGAUUUGUUAAUUUCCUUAUUUGGAUUACAUAUUUUAUCAACUUUUAAGUUAUGUUAA